rnacentral:lncRNA from 1 species
AGGCAUUUGCUUCAGGUGAGCAGAGGGAUGACUUUCUGUCCCACAUCUGUGAAGAUCAGCUGUUGGUUUACAUUGCCAGGGUGAAAUUCAACAGAACUAAUUUAGGGUGAAGAUCUUGAGGCCCACAAGGAAUUUCCUUGUGGGAAAAUUGUGAGGAAGAGCAAUCACUGCACCCAGCCACCUCUAUAUACAUGUACACAAAGCCACACAGUUUACACAGUCACAGGUAUUUAAGUACACACUAUUCACACACAAAUACAUAUAUAGACACACAUGUACAGUCCGUCCAAAAUAUAUGUACAUAAAAGCACACUAUUACACCUUCAUAUGUGCACACACACACACACCCAGACUCACUUCAUACACACAUAGAUACAACAGCCACAGCUCCCCAUCACCUACACACACACACACACACCUGGACACCCAGCUCUAAUAUAAUCAGAUAGAGAUAUGC